rnacentral:rRNA from 1 species
UAAACGACUCUCGGCAACGGAUAUCUCGGCUCUCGCAUCGAUGAAGAACGUAGCGAAAUGCGAUACUUGGUGUGUAUUGCAGAAUCCCGUGAACCAUCGAGUCUUUGAACGCAAGUUGCGCCCGAAGCCGUCAGGCCGAGGGCACGUCUGCCUGGGCGUCACAC